GUGCCAGCAGCCGCGGUAAUACGUAGGUGGCAAGCGUUGUCCGGAUUUAUUGGGCGUAAAGCGAGCGCAGGCGGUUUCUUAAGUCUGAUGUGAAAGCCCCCGGCUCAACCGGGGAGGGUCAUUGGAAACUGGGAAACUUGAGUGCAGAAGAGGAGAGUGGAAUUCCAUGUGUAGCGGUGAAAUGCGUAGAUAUAUGGAGGAACACCAGUGGCGAAGGCGGCUCUCUGGUCUGUAACUGACGCUGAGGCUCGAAAGCGUGGGGAGCGAACAGGAUUAGAUACCCUGGUAGUCC
rnacentral:rRNA from 1 species